GUUGUGGCCGACCCAGCCUUGCGCAGCAGGAGCUGCUUUUGUAACUAGGAGCUCAAGUUUUCCUUCCCUCUGAUUACACGAGACAAGGAUCAUCGGUUGCUCUGCCUUUUAGAGGAAAAAAGGCGAAAAGAUAAAAACGAGUCUUGCCAGGAUGCUUGUUGCUCUACAUGCUGUCCUGUGCCAUUUAAUUAAAAGAAAAGGACGUGCUGGGUCGCUGCCCAAGCAGAAUGCUGACAAGGAGCGAAAUCUUUCCCGUCACGCACAUUACAGUAAUUAACUCUGCAUUCAGAGGAUGAAAAGGGGAGUACGGCUCUUUUGUGAGUUAUGGAGAGAAGCAUGAAGUUACAGAACUGAUGAAACAGCUUAUUACACUCACUCCUUAGCAUGCAAAGGAGCAAACACUGCAGCGUUCGCUCCUGUCAUCUGUGGCGCUUCCACUCGAAAUAAAGGAGAACAAUAAAAUCCAUUUUGUUUCGAUGAGUAAAAUUCUAUUUGCGACGGCUUUCAUGGUACAGAACAAUGACUAAACGACUGAGAAGGAGAAUAGAUUCGAGAAAAGAACGAGACACAAACAACCUUCUUUCUUUCCGCCAACAAACUUUCCUUUUUACAAGUCCAUUUAUUUCAAACAUCUCUCUUGACUAGAGAAGAAUGAAAUACGUUGCAGUGCAUGGACUGCAAACACAGAGCUGUGAUGGGAAGAAGAAAAACAACCUAAAGCUUCCAGUGUUAUUCCGCUGAACACAAUAAAAACUUUGUGCAAGGCACGCUGAAGAACAAGCACACCUGAAUCCAGACCUGAUCUCCUCCAUCUUCGUUUUAAACUCUGUGUGUUUUAGGUAAAAACCACUGACUGUCCUGUGAAAGUCAGUCCUGCACUAAGAAAUAGGAGCGAUACAGAUUUAACUGAUAACUAAUAUUUAUUUAUUAUUAUUUUCAAUC